UUAAAAAGAWAAGCUAAAUUUAA
rnacentral:tRNA from 1 species